rnacentral:rRNA from 1 species
UCCAGACUCCUACGGGAGGCAGCAGUGAGGAAUAUUGGUCAAUGGGCGCGAGCCUGAACCAGCCAAGUCGCGUGAGGGAAGACGGUCCUAUGGAUUGUAAACCUCUUUUGUCGGGGAGCAAAAGACGCCACGCGUGGCGUUCCGAGAGUACCCGAAGAAAAAGCAUCGGCUAACUCCGUGCCAGCAGCCGCGGUAAUACGGAGGAUGCGAGCGUUAUCCGGAUUUAUUGGGUUUAAAGGGUGCGUAGGCGGAAGAUCAAGUCAGCGGUAAAAGUGAGAGGCUCACCCUCUUCGAGCCGUUGAAACUGGCGGGCUGGAGUUGGAGAGAAGUACGCGGAAUGCGCGGUGUAGCGGUGAAAUGCUUAGAUAUCGCGCAGAACCCCGAUUGCGAAGGCAGCGUACCGGCUCCACACUGACGCUGAGGCACGAAAGCGCGGGUAUCGAACAGGAUUAGAUACCCCAGUACU